rnacentral:rRNA from 1 species
CAAUAGCGUAUAUUAAAGUUGUUGCAGUUAAAAAGCUCGUAGUUGGAUUUCUGGUCGGAAGCUCCUGUCCUCUGAUGAGCGUACAAGUGCGUCCUACCAUCCUUCUGUUAACCUUUAAGGCUUUCGCGGCUUUCUAGGGGCUCAGAUAUUUUACCUUGAGAAAAUUAGAGUGUUUCAGGCAGGCUAGCGCCGGAAUACAUUAGCAUGGAAUAAUGGAAUAGGACUUUUGCCUCUUCUGUUGGUCAUGAGGCUCGAGUAAUGAUUAAUAGGGAUAGUUGGGGGCAUUAGUACCUAACUGUCAGAGGUGAAAUUCUCGGAUUUGUUAAAGACUAACUUAUGCGAAAGCAUUUGCCAAGGAUGUUUNCAUUA